UUUAAAAGUACAUGUAUUCUGAACAAGCCUGAUCCUGUCUGAUCUCAGAAGCUAAGCAGGGUCAGGCCUGGUUAGUACUUGGAUGGGAGACCACCUAGGAAGACCAGGUGCUGUAGGCG
rnacentral:rRNA from 1 species